GUAACAGCCUCACAUGUCUGUCUUUGCACGUUCGUAGGAGCAAAACUGGAUGGUAAAUUGCAAUAAGUGGAAUUUCAGGCUCAAAGGAUUGUUUAAAGAUCUGUUUGCUGGAGGGGAUUCAAGAUGGCGUGGUAAGAACAACUCAGGAUCGCAGCUCUCAGUGAACGCUCAGAGGAUGGCAGAAUAAACCAUGGAGCAGCUGUGACUCUCAUGACCAGGAGCUGCUAAAAGAGAUUUUUGAAAAGCUUUCAGAUGUCAGUCCUGAGGUUGCUGCCUGUGAAUAAGGUACCUUAGAUAAGCCGUCUACUGUGUGUGAGGGAGAAAACCCUUCAUUUGAUGAAAUCUUACAGAGGAUGUAGGUAUAAUACAGUGGAUGUAGCAGGGUUUAAAUCUCACAGGUGUUAAGUUAGGAGCUGCAUGACUCUGGGCAAGUUACUUAAACUCUCUGUGCUUUAUUUUCUUGUCUGUAUGAUAGAAUUAUUAUUAGGUUGGUGUAAAAGUGACUGCAAUUUUUAACCUUAAAAGUAAUACUGCAUCACCUCAUUCAGUUGUUACAAGAACAAAAUGAGAGAACACAUGUAAAAUGUUUCAGACAGCAUCUGGCAUAUUGUUAGUCCUUGAUAAGUGUUAGUUAUAAUUUGAAACCCAUGCAAAAGAAAAGCCCUGUGUUUGGAGCCCUGCCUGCUCUCUGCCAACUAAUUGUGUCCCUGAAAUAUUUUCAUGGA
rnacentral:lncRNA from 1 species